UAAUAUCACAAGGGUAAUUUAGGGAGAAAAACAUCUUGGGAUCCUUUACUGUUUUUGAAAGAAAAAGUAUUCUCUCAGGUGCAUGAUACAUUUCAAUGAGUACCUUGAAACAAGAGGAAGGUGAACAUAUUCACUAGGGUAAAAAUGGAACUCCUGAUUUCCUCAGGUGCUUUAAAGAGCUUGCAAGCAAUAUGGUAAUAGGGAAUACAAAGAAUUUUUUUGAUGCUUGUUCCCAGCUAUAAUUCUUUGGUGAGAUAUAAUGAGGUACUGACAAGGGCCAGAGAUUUCCCGGGCUAGCUCUGAUAUAUCUUCUUUUCCUCUCUCUGGCACGGGCCAAGAGGGGCCUGGGCCAGGGUUGCUGUUUGAGCCCCGGUUCGGGUUUUGAGCUUUCAGCCUUUCUUUGAACAUACGUCUGUUAGGUCAGGUGAAGGAAUGAAGGGGGGACUUCUUUCUGGUUUGCAAGUCACAGAUUUAUUCUGUAGGGGGAAAUCCAGGAGAAAAGACAAAGAACGGGGGUCUGAUCGUCACCUUUUAAAGGGUUCAUGCCCUGGGGGGCUGGGAAUUUUAAGAACCAGUUAGAAGUUACAGCUGGUGGGCACACAAACUUUCUACGAAUAAAAUACCAACACGUAAAGAUAAGCGGUAACGGACAUGGGAAUUCUCUAAUUAAUUUCUGAGGAUUCGGGUUUUUUUCACAGGCGGGGUGGAGCCGCAGGAGAAAGGGGGAGAGAUCGGGCCACCUGAGCCUCUGCCACUGGGACACAGGAAGCACGGGUAAAAGCGGCAGAGACAGCGCACCGGGGCCGGAGUAACAAAAAGUGAAUCCCCCGCGGAGGCGGCGACCGCCCGCACCGGGACUGGCGCAGGGUUGGAGCGCCGCAGGGGAAAACGAGCAAGCCGGAAGGUAACGCCGGCUCCGGGGCCCCGACAACAAAGGAGCAGGUGUUCCUCAGCUGUCCAGGCCGCCCGGAGGGAAAACAAAGGUGGACCCAGCACGGGGAGAAACACGAGCUGACGCCGGAGCCCGGGCUCACGCGGGCUGGGGCCUGCGUGAGCGAGCCCGCUGCGGGGGGAAAGCACCUGUUUGUUAAAGGAUUAUAGAAUGGUUUGGUUUGGAAGGAAUCUCAAAGACCAUCUGAUACCAACCCCUCUGCCAUGGACUGGGACACCUUCCACUGAACCAGGUUGCUCAUGGCACAUUACAUGGGAAAACGGAUUGCAAAGGGAAUUUAAAGGGUGCCCUCUCCAAAGAAAUGCCUUUUAUUUCGCACAUUUGGCAGAAUAUAAUAAUUUAAGAUUUCUGACACCAGGGAACUGGAAUACUCAGACACGGGGGCAGCUUGAAGCUUCAGAAUUGUGAGUUCAUUGGUCUAGAAGGAAAAAAAUGCUGAAGUCUUCAAAGAACCUGGAUAUAUUUUGUUUUAAUUCUUUGGAUAAUCCAGUCCUGAGUAAUUGCAAAGUACUUCAAAUGUUAAAAUAAACGUGCAAGUAGAAGGACAGUUGAUUUCUGCUAACCAUGUUGGUAAAUAAAUAAUGGAAGUAUACAACACAAAAAUUUUAGGUGUCAUUUUUUGAUCUUGGGAAAAUCAAGGGUAGAAAAAUGAAGGAAAAAUAUGUUCUUUGAGAACAGACCAUUGUGAGAAAAUUCAAUGUGCUGGCUUCUGUUCUUCUGAAUUCCAGGACAUUCCUAGAUUCUAUGGCAGUGAUUAAAAUCAAAAUGGUAUUUUUACAGUUGAGGACUGUGCCUUGAACAUUUUCCCAAAUUCAAAGGAUUUUACUCUGUGACUAGAAGAUAAAGUGCUUGACUUUUCAAAUGAGGCAAUACAGACUCUACCUUGGAAUACCUUUAAAUCCUUGAGAAAUGUACAUUAACAAGGUGUGCUGGACAGUGUGCAAGUAAGAGAGAAAAGUGAAGAAAAAGAGAUAAUUGUGUGGACAUGAUUUUCUGAGCCUGAGAGAGUUUUCAGCCUGUCAGUGGCUAAUCUGUUCCCAGGGCAAAGUUUCUUGAGAACAGUUUUUCUCCCAAGGACUGUUCUUUGUAAAUAGGUUUUUGGUUCCCAAAACAAUAUUAUACAGAUGUCCUCAUCAGUGUUUUCUCUUGUCCCACCAAUGGGAUGAGAGAGGUGGUGUUCCCUUUACCAAUCAUGUUAAACCUGUAUCGGAACACCUUAUAAAAGGGGCUUAAAAACCCUGAAAUAAAGGCUUCUGCCUUCUUCGGAUGAAAAACCUCUGCAGCUGUGAUUGAAUCCACUCUUCUAUUUCAUGUCCACUAACAACAAUCAUGUACCUUGAAAAACCUCUACACAUGACUCCUGGACAUUCAGCUUGUGCACUAAAUGCUGACAAGUGUUGCACGUGCAACACAAAUGCCAUGGGUAAAACCAUUUCUUUUCUUUCUCAAUUCAGAUUUCAAGAUGUCUUGUGCAGGUUGGCAAACAUGGAUUCUUCUGGUUUUGUUAUACAACAGUCAUUUUCUCCAUGAGAUGUGAGGAUGGGUUGAGGGUGGGUGCCUGCAGCGGUUGAAACUAUGAAGUAAGAAUUUCGUUCUGCUUUUAGUCAGGAGCACAGCUGAAAAUGCAGAGUAGCUUGGAGUGUUUAACUUUCCUACCUUGAAAAUGCUUUUCAGUCUUUCUGUAGUGUAGAAGGUGAAACUAGAAUUAAUUUUUCUGAGGAAACCUAUAGUGGUUUGGGAAUUUUUUACUUUCUGAGUAUUGAGACAAACUUUUUUUUUGUGUGUGCCUUUCUUCCCAUGACAGAACUUGAUUUUUUUUAGAAUAUAUAAUUUGCUGCUACAGUAAAAAAAUCAUUUAAAAUACAGAAAAAUAAGCUAAGAAAUGCAAAAGCAUGUGAUAUGACCAAUAGCACCUGUCAUCUGGACAGUCAUAUGACAGACCAGUGAUUGAUGAUAGGAUAGCAUGGCAGUUGAGGGGUCCCAAAUAAAAAUUAUAAUAGUCCUCAAAAAUCAAACUGUUUAAGGUACAGAGUUAUAUUAAGUAUUUUAAUUUUUUUUUAAAAACUUGUGCACAGCUUUGCAUUUGCAGGUCAUACCUGAAGUCUGCAAAGAUAAAAGUGCCAACAUACAGAGAUUAAAAACAAUUUUCCAGGUACUUCUGAACUGUCUGGAAUUUGGAAGGAAGUGGAUCUUAUGGUACAUACUGGUCUCAGGAAGUAUUGGCAAUUCAGAUAAGCUUUGAAUAAUCAUCAAACAUUUUUCUGCUUACUGCUUAUCUUCCCUUUCAAACUGAAAUAUUUUAGGCUUAUCUGUCACAACAAAAAGGGAAAAGAGUCAAGGUGCUAUCAUGGUUAAAAAAUUGUACAACCAUCAAUAAUAACAGGUUUCUCAGUGCUCAGAGACAUUUGCUAGUACCUGCAUCCUCAGGCUGAGAACUGAAAGUAGGCAGAGGUUUGGGUUGUAUUAAUUUCAGAAAAGCAUCUAAAAAUAUCAGCACUUAUCUGUAGAACUGUUAGUCAGUGUAGAGAAAAAGAUUUCAAUUAACUGGAGGUAAAAUAUUGGUUCAAUAUGUUUUCUUCCUUGUUUUUGAUUGCUUCUUGU